GAAAAGGGAACCCUUGUACACUGUUGGUGCGAAUGUAAAUUGGUGCAGCCACUAUGGAAAACAGUAUGCAGAUUCCUCAAAAAAUUAAAAAUAGAACUAACAUGUCAUCCAACAACUCCGCUUGUGGAUAUAUAUCCAAAGGAAAUGAAAACAGGGUAUCCAAAAUAUGAGUGCACUCCCAUGUUUAUUGCAGCAUUAUUAGCAAUAGCCAAGACAUGGAAACAACCUAAGUGCCCAUCAACAGAUGAAUGGAUAAAGAUAUGCUAAGCCAGGACAGUGGCUGGUUGGAGAUUCCUGAAGGCAGUACAACCUGCUGUUCACGCCGGUGCCCAGGUGCAGUGGGAGCACACGCUUCCCAAUUCCUGUCACCAACAAAGCCGGCCACCGUCCAGCUCUUCCACCUGGCACUGGAGCAUCCUGAGGUUGCCCAUCCCUGGGACAUGGCGUAUCCCUUUCUGCAAGACAGAUAAGUAACUGAAAAUAAAGAACCGGCGUGAAGAGAAUUGGAAGAGAACUUUGAACCCUGGGACCCAGUGAAAAUGAAUAGCCCCGGGUGGGGUGACAAAGAGGAAAACUGAAGGUGCCGGACCCGCUAGGGGAAUGCAGAAGGAGAGGCAGAGAGCAAGAGAAAAUCAGGAAGGAAAAGAGAACAGAACUCACUUUCACUGAGCAAUGACUUUGUGCCAGAACAGUAAAAUGACUUUGUACCAGGACACACUGUAAACAACACCUAGAAAGUCUCUAAGAUGAAUAUUCACGGUAGUUCUCGUCUCCCUACUUUCUAAGGAGGGUUCUUUGUUUGAGCUCUUCAGCUCUCGAGCACUUUUUGUGGGAACAGGAUUAAUGAAUAAGCAAAAGAAAUGUCUCAGAGUUAUGCACAGAAGAAAGAAGAGAGAGAGAAAGUGGGAAGAGGGGAUUACAGACAGGCGGUAUGAGCCAGGGCCACAGGAACGAGAAAUUGAAGGGAGAGCUACCAUGAUGAGUGGGACUUUGGGGAGGGUGAUAUUUUAAGAGAUUUGGGAAAGAUUUGCUGGUCUUGCCUAGUGUGAUAAACCAAUCCCCGGGGCUGGCCCAGUGGUGCAGCGGUUGGGUGCGCACGUUCUGCUUCGGCAGCCCGGGGUUUGCCAGUUCGGAUCCCAGGUGUGGACGUAGCGCUGCUUGGCAGGCCUGCUGUGGUAGGCGUCCCACAUAUAAAGUAGAGGAAGAUGGGCAUGGAUGUUAGCUCAGGGCCAGUCUUCCUCAGCAAAAAGAGGAGGAUUGGCAGCAGAUGUUAGCUCGGGGCUAAUCUUCCUCAAAAGAAAAAUUAAAAAAUAAACCAAUCUCCUUGCCUUGUCUUUCAAGACAUUUCAGAAAGUCUCACAUUAUUCUUCAAGAGGUCUAAUAUGCAUUUAUUUUUUUGGAAGUGUCAC
rnacentral:lncRNA from 1 species